UCUCGAUAGCGUUAGAGUUAACGCAAAUUUGUAUGGAGUUGGAACGUGUGCCUACGUUUGCCGUUAGGGGCGCUGUUCGAACUGCAUACAAAUUUGAGUUAACUUUUACGCUAUCGA
rnacentral:pre_miRNA from 9 species